rnacentral:rRNA from 1 species
UAGGGGAUUUGCACAAUGGGCGAAACCUGAUGCAGCCUGCCGNGUGUGUGAAGAAGGCCUUCGGGUUGUAAAGCACUUUCAGCGAGGAGGAAAGCUUAGUCGUUAAUACCGGCUAGGUGUGACGUUACUCGCAGAAGAAGCACCGGCUAACUCCGUGCCAGCAGCCGCGGUAAUACGGAGGGUGCGAGCGUUAAUCGGAAUUACUGGGCGUAAAGCGUACGCAGGCGGCCAUUUAAGUCAGAUGUGAAAGCCCCGGGCUCAACCUGGGAACUGCAUUUGAAACUGGAUGGCUAGAGUGCGACAGAGGGUGGUAGAAUUUCAGGUGUAGCGGUGAAAUGCNUAGAGAUCUGAAGGAAUACCAAUGGCGAAGGCAGCCACCUGGGUCGACACUGACGCUCAUGUACGAAAGCGUGGGUAGCAAACAGGAUUAGAUACCCUGGUAGUCCACGCCGUAAACGAUGUCUACUAGCAGUUUGGAGCUUAAGCUCUGUCUUGCGCAGCUAACGCAUUAAGUAGACCGCCUGGGGAGUACGGCCGCAAGGUUAAAACUCAAAUGAAUUGACGGGGGCCCGCACAAGCGGUGGAGCAUGUGGUUUAAUUCGAUGCAACGCGAAGAACCUUACCAUCUCUUGACAUCCAGAGAAUUUAGCAGA